AACAACAUCAAUUUGGGUUGCUUUCAUCCAGACGGCAAAGAACAUUUGAAUUCACAUUACUGCCUUUAGUGAGAAAGAAUCUCUCUUUUUUGCCUCCAUUAAAAAAAAUUUUUUUUUUUGAUACACAUUUGCCGUGGUGCCUGGGACCUGGUGCAGAGAAGAUUAGCAUGGUGCUCAGCCACUGGCCAUGCCUCCGAGGAGCAAAGCUUUCUGUUUAUCUCUGAGAAGCAGACGUUUUGGAUUUUAUCCCUGGGGGAAUUUAUCAGGGCGCCCUGAAUUCGUUCAUUCAUUCAUUCUCAUAUUCCUCUUGGCCUCAAACACACACACACACACACACACACAUGCACGCACACACACACACAUACACACACACACACACACACACACACACACACACACACACACGGGGAGAGAGGGGGAGACAGAGAGAGAGAGAGAGAGAGAGAGAGAGAGAGAGAGAGAGAGAGAGAGAGAGAUCUACAUAUCAUCCAUGUCAAUACUGGUUGCUGUGCAUCUAGGAAGAUGGUGUGUGUGUAUGUGUGUGUGUGUGUGUGUGUGUGUGUGUGUGUGUGUGUGUGUGUGUGUGAACCAUUUUGGGAUUGUCUGCAGUUUUAUUUUCUCCACUCUAAGCAUAUUCUUGGGUGGUAUUUCUUAAUUCCACCAGUGGCAGCCUGGGUUGGUCCUGGUCCUCAUUUUCAUAUCAUCUACUAUACAUGGAUUUCUUUUGGUCUCAGCAGCCCUUUCCUGUGGCCAGACAUUUUCAGAGCAACAUCAGACAGCCAUCUCCUACAAGUGUCUGAUUCUCUAGGACUGGCAUGGAUUUCUCCCAUGACUUUGAGCCACCCCAUCUGACAUCUCAAACUUCAGUCCUGUGAUGUUUAGACGAAGGUGAUCUCCACUACUUCCUGCCCUCCUUAGAGAGGCAAAGCACCAGAAGUCAGGCCUGGUCGCAGCUUCUAUGCCCAGAGAUGCCAAGAGAUGGAGAUACUUGAAGAAGAGAAUUUAUGUGCCCUGAGGAGAACAGCCAUCUUCUUCCCAGCCCUGAGUGAGAACAAAGAUUGGAUAAUCUCUUGCCAAGGGUUACCUGAAGGGAGGUAGAGAUGUUGCUAAGGAAUGUGACACUGCAUGGAGCCAGCACUGAGUGACUUGCCACCUGAAGAAGAGCCCACAAGAUGCCAGGGUAAGAUUCCUGAAAACACCAGCUCUCCUCUUCACUGCUGCCCUCUCACUGUGAUGACACAGAAAGAAAAUGAGCGCCAGCAAGACACUACGCUCUGUCCUUUGAAUGUCACAGCCCUAGAGGUAAGCGGACUCGCCCUUAAGUGUCCAACAAACAUUGGUAGCCAAGAACCUCAUCUAAAUCCUCCUCUUACUCAACACCCCCUCACUGGGGAGACCUUUUACCUUCCAUAAAUGGGAGACCAGCCGGGCUCAUUACUUCUCAUUUGCUGGAGUUGGCAAUUUAAUCCUAACCUAACCAGGGCCUGAAGGCUCCCCAUUCCCUGGCAAAGCCCCACUAGGGAUGAUCAAGUUUCACUGGGUAUAAUAAAACAAAGCUGGUGCUGAGUCAGGUCCUAGACGCCCGGCCUGUAAAUCGUCACCCUGGCUCCUCAGCUGGAGAUGUUAUCAGCCCCACAGCCUUCUCUCUCAUGCCUCUACUACUGUUCACAGAACCCUGUCUACUAAGGAGGUGACUCUAGUUAUGCAUUCUCCUCCAGACUUCAAAUCCAGCUGGCUCUGGGUCCCCAGUCAAAACAUCUAUGGGCUGCAGGGAGUCCACAUUAAAUCUGGGUCUAUGGGCUGCGUACAGCCCACAUAGGCAGAUCUGCUACUCUCAACACAGAUUGCUCCUGACUGCAUCUUCUGGUUAGGGCUGAGGAGAGUCAAGGUGAAAACCAGGACAUGGGGAGGAAUUGUGUCUAAGUGUUCUCUGAGAUGAGACACAGCCCCAAGAGGCAAGUGUAAGGACAGUGCAACCCAUUCUUUCCAGACCUCUAGCUUCAAAGAGUGUGUUCAAUAAAGGCUGCUGGGUAGCAUAACACAGAGAGCCAAUCAGUGGGAUCCUCAGAAUCUAGUAUUUAGCAAAUGUCAGGCAUAGAAAAGAUAAGAUUGACAGUUGUGAAGAACCUCCAGACUCACAAUCAAUAUGUAGCUUUUUAGGCUCAGUUUGAUCUAAUAGAUGCUACAUCCUAAAGCCAAUCACUUUCCUCUCUGAACAAAAGCUUUACCUUCAUCCAGGGAUUCCCAGGUGCUGAACAGGGUGAUGUUGGGAAGUUAGGGACUAGGACCGGAGUCUCCACUUUACCUCUGGUUUCUGAGUCUGUUUCCAUUCCUUUAUACUGGGGAUCUGGGUUUGGGGCUGGACCCCUUGACUAGAUUUUCCUUACAGCCCUUCCCAGUUUAAACUUUUAUCAGACCUCUAGGAGGCAGAGAUGCCAAGCACUGUAUCUGAGAAGCCAGGGAUGGAAAAUGUGUCUUUGUUUUGGUUCUAGGGCCGAUCCAGCAGAAGGUCUUUUGUCCCUGUCUAUAAGCCGGAUCAGCAAAGCUGCCAGGACUUUUUGAUAGAACGUGGGGAAGCGGCUCUCAAGAGUCACCUUGUAAUGACGGUGGCAGCAGGAGGGAUAGCUCUUUUUUUUUUUUUUUAACCUCCUGAGAUUUCUGACACCUGGAUUCUACCUUCCACCCACAUCUGCUUAUCUGCCUGUGUUCAGAAGGUGCCUGGGAACUCUCACUCUGCUGGCAGAGAGCCAGCUUCCAACCUUAGCUUUGGCAAGCCUUGUGACCUUGGGCCACUCAGUCCCCGCCUAGUGGGUUUGCUCUGGGUUAGGAUGGCAGGAAACAGGAACUCCAGGAGUCUGCUUUGUAAAUAUUAACUUUAGGUUCAGCAGGGCAAUGUCAUGCCCUUGUGAGGCAAGAAGUUUCCAGAAGGCAAGUCUUCCUUUAAUCCCCCAUAUGUCUGCAUUGAUCUAUCCACGGGGUCAGCCCAGCACAAAUGCCUGACUAACUAAAUGAGUCAACUCAGUGGGUUGGUCCACUGAUCCAAGAGAAGGGCUUCCGACAUCUGUCUCAAGGUGUAGAUGAUGCAUGUGAAAAGCACCCUUGGAAACAUCCAGUUCUCCGCAAAAAUCAGUCUCAGAAGUUCCAUUUACCCUGGCGCUUGCUCUCUAUUUCUCCCCUUCCCCACCUAGAACUGUGGGUGGCACAGAACCUGAACUUGCCUUGGUCCUCUGAGAGCGAGAAAGACACACAGCCACUGUAGACACCUUAAGAGGACCUCAUCUACUUCCCCUUCCCAGACAUGGAGGGCAGCUUCUGCACAGACCAUCAAAUCCUGGGUCACCUUUAGCCCUCCAGUCCUAAACGGAGUGACAGAACUUACAAAGGUAUCUUCAGGAGGGGAGAGGAGACCAAGGUUCUGCUCCCUUCUGUUCCUGGAGACUCUUCUGACUUGUCCCAAUGAUAAAAUUAAAAAGAAUCCACAGAAUACAAAAUGAUAAUCUCAUGGUUCUUCCUUGCCUGCCUGCAGGUCUAUUCCAGGUGCCAGUGGUGACAGAGACAAAGGCAUAGCUCCACAUUGUCACUGCCAGCUGAGGAGUACCCUUACUCUUUUAGGUACCUAAUCACAGGUAAAAUCAGAUCCCGGGCUUUGAUGGAGAAUGGCUUUUAGGGAAGGCCAGUAUGAAGAGGAGUUGGGGUUUGUUAAGGAUAUCUUAGAUUUCUAAGCACAAGACUUACAAGAAGGAAGACGCUUAGGAAACUGUAAGACAUACCAGGAGUGUGAGUGUGAGCUCACACUUGUCCUUAGAGUAGCCAUGUUUAGGAUUUUGGUGGGGUUUGAAGUCCUUAUCUUCAAAGGGUUGCUAAGGAACCUAAAUGAGAUCAGGGUCCUGAGAGGCACCUGAUAGGAUCCCAGUUGAGACAGUAAAACUCUGGGUCCAGGGGAUGAAGGGAGAUAGGGUAUUUUCCCUGUAGACAAAGUUAAUAGUCUUUGAGAGACCAGGAGUUGGAAGCUUCCCUGGUAGGCAUACAGAUAGGGAGAAUGAGCAUGACUAGGUAACAAAGGUGGUAAACUUCCAAGAUGACCUACUUCUUCCUCACCCUCUUGAACUGAGAUGAAAGAUUGGCCUCUUAAGGCAAAGGCCAGCAGCCCCUCUUGCCUGAUGGACCUCCUCAGCAAGGUCUGAUCAGGACAGGUUGCAUAAUAAUUGUAGGUAAUCAACCAUCCUAUCUUUCUUCAAACUGACUUAUUCUAAAUUAGGAGAAGAAAACUCUUCAGAGGCUUAAGUCUUAGCCCUUCAGAAAAGACUGGAUAUUUUGGAUUCUGAGUCCCCAUCUGCUUUACAGAGGAUCUUUUUCUCUGUGUGGCUGCUGCGUGUGUGUGUUUCCUCUCUCCAGUAAACACCUUUCCUCAACUACUGAUUCUGUGUGCUUCUGUUUGUGGUGUUUGGGAUUUCUCCAGGCUACCUUUCAUGCUCAAAAUUUGCCUGCCUUUUAACUCCUUAACUGGCAGAGAAAAUGAGUCUAAUCAGGACCCCUAGACUGUAUCAGUCUUGUUUGUGAGCCACAAAAUGUCUGGGCGAAGGAAUAGGGCUCCAACCAAGAUUGUGUACAUCCAGGCCUUAUGCUUGUUUUAUUGCUAUGUGAACAUUAAAUGUCCAUAUGAGAAAGGAAUAUAUUUGAUGAGAACCUUCACAGCAAAUGUUAAUUGUACAGAAUUCCUACUUCUCAGUUGGUUUCAACCAAUGGGCUUCAACCAGACUUGGUAAUGAGGAGCCCCUUUCCCUUCCCCUGUACCUAUAAUUUCCCAUCUUCCUCUCUUGUCUCACAGGCAGCUGUGCCUCCUUGUUACUGGACAUCAGCACCUUUCUCUUUAAUUCCACUGAAAAAUGGUCAGUUUUUUACAAGGCCUCACCAGGAGGUCAGGGCAAGGAUGGUCACGUUUUUGCGGCUAUCCCAAAUGGACUCAUCACCGACAGUCACCUGACAGACAGAAUUUCCCAUGUGGAAGACUGUGACACCAGUGAAAGUUUCUAAGACCUGUGCAGCAAAGCCAGGGUCUAGCAUUAGAGUUUUCAAAGAUCUGAAUAAAGACCUUCCCUAUGGGACAAAUGCGAUGAACUUGUCUUGUUGAAGGCCACCGUUAGCUCUGGUGAAUGGUCCACAGUGGGAAACAACCACCCAGCCCUCCUGGUGAGCCUUUCAUCUCUCUGGAAGCCGUGGUGGGUGCUAGUCAGGAUCCUUCCUCCCAACCUCACUCUUCUCACAGUCAGCUCUCUCCGUGUGCCCUUCACUCACCCUUCACCUUUACUGCAUCCAGCCGACCAUCAGACCUUCAGAGGCGUUUGCAGGGCUGCCCCUGCCCCAGGGAAUGCAGGUAGCUGCAUACCAGAUCCUAAAGUAAUUACCAGAACAAACCAAGCUGGUGGUCCAUCAGUAGGCCUUGGGCAGAGACAUCUGCCCCUUGACCCACCCAGGGGCCUACCAGAAAUAGAAACAGAGUUAAUGAGAAGGCACAUUCCUUGGUCCUUUUCGUGCUGACCAGGCAACAUGCAGUGAAGAUCUUAAUAAGAGAAGCCCACCUGACUCAAUUCUGCUCAUAGCAGCAGAGCAGCUGCUUGGAAGGAAAAGCAUCUUCCUGCAGGUUAGUGUUUCCUUCCCUCUCCCUUGCUCUUUUCGACGACAGCAAGGAUAAGCGUGGAGGUACUUUCUAUCCCCAGAAGUCAAGUGGGAGCCAUCCAUCAGAGACAGGACCUGCCUGCGACAAAAAUGGAAAAUCAUAAAACUGCCAUGAAAGCAUAUUUUCAGAGCUCCUGGGCUUCUUUUUCAAGCUCCUCCCACUCCUCCAUGGAUCCCAUCACUCUUCUGACCUGCUGGCUCCCUCUCCCCUCUCCGCCAUCCCCCCCCCCCCCACACACACUUUGAGUCUUCUUCUCUUUUCCUUAGUGAAGAAAUGACCAGUUGUGGACAUGUAAAAAUCUCUCCCCCACCACACACACACACUUCAAGUCUUCUUUCCUUUUCCUUAGUGAAGAAAUGUUUAGUGAACA